GGAUGUGAUCAUACCAGCACUAAAGCACCGGAUCCCAUCAGAACUCCGAAGUUAAGCGUGCUUGGGCGAGAGUAGUACUAGGAUGGGUGACCUCCUGGGAAGUCCUCGUGUUGAAUUCC
rnacentral:rRNA from 1 species